UACGGGGGGAGCAAGCGUUGUUCGGAUUUACUGGGCGUAAAGGGCGCGUAGGCGGUCGUGACAAGUCACUUGUGAAAUUCGGUCGGUUAACUCGGAACGGUCAAGUGAUACUGUCGGACUAGAGUACAGAAGGGGGCAACUGGAAUUCUCGGUGUAGCGGUGAAAUGCGUAGAUAUCGAGAGGAACACCUGCGGCGAAGGCGGGUUGCUGG
rnacentral:rRNA from 1 species